UUGAACGCUGGCGGCAUGCUUUACACAUGCAAGUCGAACGGCAGCGGGGGCUUCGGCCUGCCGGCGAGUGGCGAACGGGUGAGUAAUGCAUCGGAACGUACCCAGUCGUGGGGGAUAACUACGCGAAAGCGUAGCUAAUACCGCAUACGCCCUGAGGGGGAAAGCGGGGGACCUUCGGGCCUCGCGCGAUUGGAGCGGCUGAUGUCGGAUUAGCUAGUUGGUGGGGUAAAGGCCUACCAAGGCGACGAUCCGUAGCUGGUCUGAGAGGAUGAUCAGCCACACUGGGACUGAGACACGGCCCAGACUCCUACGGGAGGCAGCAGUGGGGAAUUUUGGACAAUGGGGGCAACCCUGAUCCAGCCAUGCCGCGUGAGUGAAGAAGGCCUUCGGGUUGUAAAGCACUUUCGGCCGGGACGAAAUCGCUCGGGUUAACACCCAGGGUGGAUGACGGUACCGGAAGAAGAAGCACCGGCUAACUACGU
rnacentral:rRNA from 1 species